rnacentral:lncRNA from 1 species
CAUCUGCCAGGGUGCUGCUUCCCACAUAUGCCACACACUGGCCAUGAUUGGAACUUAGAUUCAGUUCUGGCCAUAGUGACCGGAGGACGAGGUGCUAAUGGUAGAGAAGCAUCCGGUGACUGACCUCUUCUCCUCCACUUCCUCGUACGUGGGGCAGGUGGAGCUGAGCGUACAGACUGCUCCGUCGGGCCCUCCGGGAGACUUGCUCCCUCAGAUCUACCUCGGCUGCUUUGN